AGUGAACGCUGGCGGCAUGCCUAAUACAUGCAAGUCGAACGACCGCACAGUAAGAUUUCGCUUCUACGGUUAGCGAGUGGCGGAUGGGUGACACAUAGAUCGCCAACCUCUAAUUCUUGGGGGACAUCGUAGGGCCACUGCCGCUACCACCUCAUAUGUUCAACGGGUUAAAGCAGUAGUUCUUCGCACUUUUCGCGACUGAUAUAGCCGAUGCCGGAUUAGCUAGUUGGCGUGGUAAAGGCACACCAAGGCAACGAUGCGUAGCUGGUCUGAGAGGAUGAUCAGCCACACUGGAACUGAGACACGGUCCAGACUCCUACGGGAGGCAGCAGUAGGGAAUCUUGCGCAAUGGGCGCAAGCCUGAUGCAGCAAUGCCGCGUGAGUGAAGAAGGCCUUCGGGUUGUAAAGCUCUUUUGUUGGGAAAGAAAAAAUGUAGAUGUAUACACCGCUGUUCUGACGGUACCUAAAGAGAAAGCCCCGGCUAACUUCGUG
rnacentral:rRNA from 1 species